rnacentral:misc_RNA from 1 species
GAUGAAGAACGUAGCGAAAUGCGAAAAGUAAUGUGAAUUGCAGAAUUCAGUGAAUCAUCGAAUCUUUGAACGCACAUUGCGCCCGCCAGUAUUCUGGCGGGCAUGCCUGUCUGAGCGUCAUUUCAACCCUCAUGCCCCUAGGGCGUGGUGUUGGGGAUCGGCCAGCGCCCGCGAGGGACGGCCGGCCCCUAAAUCUAGUGGCGGACCCGUCGUGGCCUCCCCUGCGAAGUAGUGAUAUUCCGCAUAGGAGAGCGACGAGCCCCUGCCGUUAAACCCCCAACUUUCUCAGGUUGACCUCAGAUCAGGUAGGAAUACCCGCUGAACUUAAGCAUAUCAAUAAGCGGAGGA